GACGAACGCUGGCGGCGUGCUUAACACAUGCAAGUCGAACGGAAAGACCCUGCUUUUGUGGGGUGCUCGAGUGGCGAACGGGUGAGUAACACGUGAGUAACCUGCCCUUGACUUUGGGAUAAUUUCAGGAAACUGGGGCUAAUACCGGAUAGGAGCUCCUGCUGCAUGGUGGGGGUUGGAAAGUUUCGGCGGUUGGGGAUGGACUCGCGGCUUAUCAGCUUGUUGGUGGGGUAGUGGCUUACCAAGGCUUUGACGGGUAGCCGGCCUGAGAGGGUGACCGGCCACAUUGGGACUGAGAUACGGCCCAGACUCCUACGGGAGGCAGCAGUGGGGAAUAUUGCACAAUGGGCGGAAGCCUGAUGCAGCAACGCCGCGUGCGGGAUGACGGCCUUCGGGUUGUAAACCGCUUUCGCCUGUGACGAAGCGUGAGUGACGGUAAUGGGUAAAGAAGCACCGGCUAACUACGUG
rnacentral:rRNA from 1 species